GACGGAGGGGGCGUGCGUUAAUCGGAAUUACUGGGCGUAAAGCGCAUGUAGGCCGCCGAACAAGUCAGGUGAGAAAUCCUCGGGCUUAACCUGGGAAGUGCACUUGAUCCUGUCCGGCUAGAGUUUGGCAGAGGAAAGUAGAAUUCCCGGUGUAGCGGUGAAAUGCGUAGAUAUCGGGAGGAAUACCAGUGGCGAAGGCGGCUUUCUGGGCCAAUACUGACGCUGAGGUGCGAAAGCGUGGAGAGCAAACAGG
rnacentral:rRNA from 1 species